rnacentral:rRNA from 1 species
UACGUAGGGCGCAAGCGUUAUCCGGAAUUAUUGGGCGUAAAGAGCUCGUAGGCGGUCUGUUGCGUCCGCUGUGAAAUCUCGGGGCUUAACCCCGAGCCUGCAGUGGAUACGGGCAGACUAGAGGUAGGUAGGGGAGAAUGGAAUUCCCGGUGUAGCGGUGAAAUGCGCAGAUAUCGGGAGGAACACCGGUGGCGAAGGCGGUUCUCUGGGCCGUACCUGACGCUGAGGAGCGAAAGCGUGGGGAGCGAACAGG